CAGCCUCCUUCCCCUUCAGAUGCAAAGUUGUCAACAUUUGCCUGACGAUGGUACCUCGACCAAACUAGAUGGAAGGGCAGAGGCGCCCAAGGGAGGAGGCCUCCAGAGGGAAGCAGAGAUGGAGCCAGUGCCUCUACACCAAGUGUUGCACACUGAAGGGACCCUGGUCUACAUCCACGAGGUGACUUAUUCUAGAACCUGUCCCAGGGCAGGCGAGGCGGUGGCAGGCGGCUCCACCAGGAUGAUGCAUUCAGGCUGUGUUGGUCAAAUAAGGGCCAAGCCACUGGAGCGUUCAGGGCAGCGCUGAGGGAAGGGGCAUCUGCCCUUGCCCCUGAGGAUCACUGUGGCUUGGGUGCGUCAGCAGGACCCAGGCCGGUGGCUACGCCAGUCAGCUGCCACUGCAAGUCAGCUCCGGCUCUAUUGGGCCACUUUUCUGUGUCUUCUUGAGCUUCAGCCAGAGGAAGACUGUACUUCUGUCUUCAGUGAAUGGAGCACCAGGACAGGCAGGGUUGAUUAGCUCUGCCAGAAACUCAGCCCCAUGGCGCCUGAUUCUCAGUUCCCUUGGGUCAUGGUGGCAAGGACAAGAAUUUGUCACUCAAGGGGCUCAAGCAGCCUGGCUUUGGAGAUUUUCUCCAGCAUUUUCAACAAGUAUAACACAGAGGGAACCAUGCCCUUUUCCCUUGGGGGGGAAUGGCGGGUGGCUCUGCCAUGGGGACAGCAUCACAGAUUUGCUAGAUGGAACCUUCGCUGCGCUGAUGCAGGGAGUAGGGGAUGACCGCAAUAUCUGGGCCAGCUGUGGAUUUUGCACAGACAUCAAGACUGACCUCAGGAUAUGCGUAAGCACCUCUGAGAUUUCUUGAAAACACCAAGGACAGGUGAUGGUGGUGGCAUUACGACCGGAUGUCCUAUCUGGGGCUGUACUUUGAGGAGAAAGGGAGGCAUUGUUUAUACUAGUGACCUGGACACACUACUUUCCUUCUUUUUUUUCCCAACAAUUCAUUUAUUGAUAAAUAUGUGUGCAUAAUUAUGAACAAAUGACUGUGCUGAUAUAGCUUAGAAACUAGUGAUUAUGAAAUGGUCAAAGAGGAAAACAUAAAAAUCUUGAGUAAUGCCUCCACAAAGGUGCUUAACGGUGGAACUUGGGAGGUAUUCCAGACUGGGGUUCAUCCUCAAAACAGCUCUCUUCUACUGAAAAACUGGUUCAGGAUAUGAACUUAAACUCCUUCUCAUUUGUCACAGCCCAAGAAGCAAGAUUAGAAAGAGGCAGCUUUGCAGAGAGAAAGGGAGACAGAGAGAGAAAGAGAGAUGAGUGGGCAUUCCUGGCAUAAUAAACAGCGGCAGCAGGAAUUUCCCAGAAUAUUUUGAAACCCAAGUAGAUAAGUUUAUGUAAUGGAAGAACUUCAAAGCCCAGUUAAUGACAACUGGAUCCUUUACAGGGUGAAGCUGAAACAAUGUGAGACCGGAGGUGUCUCUGGAUCUGAGCAGCUUGGAGUCUGCCACUGAGCCAGUGAGAUGUGCAGGGCAAGACCACGACUCCUUUUCAGUGCUAAGGACAUGACCCAACAAGAUAUCAAGUUCUACGGUUUUAGUAAAGAUACGAUUGAAAGCACAUACUACAAUGCAUUUGUGUCCAACUGACAUUUCUGACAAAUACCUCAACUGUUCAACAAACACUGAGGAGAAUGUGAAAACACCCAAAGGCACUCGUCCAAUUUGCACUAGCCGGUAAGUGCUGGCAAACAUCAGUGUCUGGGAGAGCUUUUAAUGUUAUUGAUAGCUUAUUCAAAUAGGCUGGAGUGAUCCCACAGGGCCUGAGUCACUACCACUGCUAUGCAAUAAGCCACUUACAAAGUAAAGAUGGGGUAAAUGUGCUCAGAAAUAAGUGCUCUAGCAUGCCGCAAUCAAAAUGGCCCUUUGCAGCAUUACUAUGUCAUCAGAGGGCAGUAGCCCUUCCUUGCAGUUAUGCAACACAACUGCUGCAAGAGCGUCUUGAAAGCCGAAGUGCCGAGUGGCUUCCCUUAAGGAAGAAAAGAAUUCUAAAAUAGGUAGUACUGUUUCCAGAAACUUGAACAGCUGCCGUGGUCACAGAAAAUACCACGGUCUUAAAGUCUGUUCUUUCCAAUACACCAUAUGUCCUUGCUGAGAGGACAAAAAUGCCAGGGAAAUAGAAAAAGGCAUUGCCUAAAAGGAAAGAAAGGGGAGAAGAGAAAUGGGAAUGCUGAGCGAGGGCUUUACGUGGGGGAGAGAGGGUAACGGGGGGCACAGCUGCCCACACGGGCCAGGGAGGAAGGGCGGCGUGUAUGCGGGCACCCUGGGCGGCUGGCAAGGUGGAGGCUUAGGCUCUUCAGUGGGAAGGUGAAAGAACAAGCGUAUUUGAGGCUAGAAAGUGGGGACUGUUGAUUCAUUCUUUAAAAUGUGUGUCUGCGUAUUCUAAAUAUGCAUAUACACACAUAUAUUUUUUUUUCAGGAGGCAAAAGACUAUAAAGAAGAGAUUAAGGUAGUGUUUAAAAAAGUAACAUAAAUGAGUGGGAACUUGUCUGAAGAGCUCUGAUGGGCUUUUGGAGAACCUAGGUAGCCAAAAGCAAUCUAUACGUGCCUGGGUAAAACAUUUGGAUAAAGAACCAAGGACUAGUGUCUGAUUCUACUAGAAUGAAACACACUGCUUAGCACUCUUCACAGUGAAGUCGCAGGAGGUUUCAGAGACUGAUCUAUGAAAUGGCAGGAUCUUAAAGAUAGUCUGGUUCUGCUUAUCUCUCUGGCAACCAAAUUUUGGCUGCUUCACUGCUCAUUAGGCUUUGAAUCAGGGGCUAAUCAGGGGAAAUAAAAGAAG